rnacentral:rRNA from 1 species
UACGGAGGGCGCAAGCGUUGUUCGGAAUCAUUGGGCGUAAAGCGCGUGUAGGCGGUCUGGUCAGUCGGGUGUGAAAUAGCGGAGCUCAACUCCAGAACUGCAUUCGAUACUGCCAGGCUAGAGUCCCGGAGAGGGUGGUGGAAUUCCCGGUGUAGAGGUGAAAUUCGUCGAUAUCGGGAGGAACCGCCGCGGAGAAGGCGGCCACCUGGACGGUGACUGACGCUGAGAAGCGUGAGCGUGGGGAGCAAACAGG